AAAUGCCAAUCCUGCACGUGGGCAGAUAAUAGCUUAUGCCAGCUUUGUUUCUUCAGUCUUAAAAGGCAGAUGAUAUAUCAGUUGAAAUCCUGUGUACUUGGUUCCCUGCCAGGCCUUGUUCAUUUAAAUUCCUGGCUUGCCCCCAGCUCAGGGAAGUGAGUCACAUUUCCCAAACCUUCCCCAAAUCCCGUCCUCAUCGAAUAAUUUCAGUUUCCCCUCAGUGUUAGUUGACAGCACACGGGGACCUGAUCGUGUUUGGAGAGAGCUCCCUCAGUAGCCUGGGAGCCAGAACAAGAAAAGAGGUGGUGGUAUGUUUAGCAACAGAAGAACUCAGUGGAACCUUGUCCCAAGAACCAUAUUUUGAUGCGAUAUCAAUCUUAACAAGCAGAACUUUUGCUUCUGGGGCUGAUCCGGAGGCUGUGAAGACCCGUGAGCUUCGCAAGCACAACCUGAUAACUCCUGUGGAUAAUUUUAACGUGAAUGCACAUUACAGAAAUCACCAAGAGUCACGGGAUGAUGCUGGUACUGAGAAAAGAGAUCUACAUGCUUGGCAACCAAAGAAAAUCAUCUUGAUCCGUUUACCGAGGAGCUGAUGCUGAGAUCCUGACUCUGAGAAAAACAGAUAAAACUCUCCUGACGUCGCAAUUCCAUCAAGAAGCCUUUAUAUCAAGUGCCCUUCUCGUUGUUUUUUUAUACCCUUACUUUUCUCCUAUUUUAAUUAAAGCCAAAACAAGUGUGUUUAUGUCAUGCAGUCCUUUUUGUGGUCCUGCUGAUGUCUUUGAAAGUCCAAACACUGACUGCUAAUUACUUUAAAAGACCAUAGGUCAAGGUAACUAGUAGUGAAGUCAACAUGGCAUUUCUAUUGAUUAUGUCCUACAACCGCCUCACCUAAUUGGAACCAGUUGGCUAGUAGGUUGCUUUUUUAACUGACCUCCUUUAACCUUUAAAAUCACAAGCUACGGAGAUGCCUGUGGGUUUUGAGUCCCAUAUAAUACUGACAUUCUUUGCUUCUGAGGUUUCUUCUGAUUAGAGCUUGAGCUUCUAAAGUGACGUGACGCCGUGGAGAGCUUACAGCCAAGAGGGCCGGGGCGCGCUUCUCCAUCUGCUGAUUGAAUGCACAUGACAACAAACCACCGAGUGCAUUGCCUUCAGCAGGAGCGGGAGGAACCUUUGGUGAAGCUCUUGUAUUUAACCUUCUCUUUAACAACCAGCAUGGCCCGAAAAAAAAGAGGCUCCUUCCUUUGUUUUAGAGGGAGAAGGAAGGCAGAAGAAAGGCAGUUACUCAGAUCUUGAUUUGAACGCUGACGUACAAAGACACCGAGCUGAAUCCAUGCAAAACAACUAGAAAAUACUGCUGCUGCUUGGAAGCAGAGACAGGAAGGAGCCUGAAGGCUUCACUGGGCUGCACAGCAAGAAGUCUGAAGUGUUUGUAUCUCAGGAAAAAAAAUUGGAAUUAAUCAGUACGAAUUCACUGUAUAAAUUCUUUUAACCUACGCUCCGAUUGGUACAGGAACCUUCUGAAUUCUUCUCUGGUUAACACAUUUCCUAAUGUCUCAAUUCCGCAUAAACUUGAAAUAUGUUACUUAAUAAUAAAUUAUAAUCC
rnacentral:lncRNA from 1 species